rnacentral:lncRNA from 1 species
GAGGCUAGAAGCGGUGCAAUAAUUGAAAUGGAAAAUCUCUCUUCAGUUAUAGAUGGAAUCUUUUGUGUCUAAAUUUGGUAGGAAUAGGAGCAGUUGGAUAUGGGAGAGGGAAAGAAGGAGAUGUGAUUAGUUCUUGGGGAAGGAGGCAAGGAUGUAGGAAGAGAGGAAAUAUGAGAAAGAGAGAGUGUGUCAAAAAUGGAGAGAACUUGGCUUCCAUUUGAUCAAAGAUGGAUCUUUCUGUGAAUAUAUUUAAGAAUGGAACCAUUGCGAUUUUAGGAUAUUUAAUGAGGGAUGCGUUUGGUUACAUUUUUUGAUUUUUGAUUUUUAAAAAGUACUUUUUAUUUUUUUUAUUUUUGCUAUUGAAUAAAAGCAAAAAAGUAAAAAGUAUGUUUGAUAACUACGUUGCUAUAAAGCAAAAAGCAAUAUUUGGGGAUGGCAGGUGAAGAGCCCGAUGAGAGAGAAGAGUUCAGGAAGGAAGGGAGAAGAAGGUGGGAAGAUGAAGAGCUCGACGAGGAAGAAGGGUUCGGGCUCUCUACUUUUUGGUUUGGCAUUUUAGAUGUGCGGAAGCAAAAAAAGCAUAAAAGUAAGUUUUGGAAAGCAAAAAAUUUUUGCUUUGCAUAUAAAGCAAUUAUUUUGAUUUUUUUUUAUUUUUGCUUUUUGCUUUUUAUGGUGUUACCAAACAUUGCUUUUUGAUUUUUACUUUGUAAAAAUCAAAAAGCAAAAAAAGUACUUUUUUAAUGGCUAACCAAAUGCACCCGAGAUGAUCUGUUGCUUUUUUUUGUGAAAUAGAAAUGAAGAGGCAUGACUAAGAGAGUAACACCUACGGCACACACCAUGUGUACCCAAUGGAGCUUUCCGUUUUAAUUGAUGUAGAGUAUUUUGGCCAAUUAAAUGAAUAUGACCAAAGACCUACUAUUUGCUUUUAGGAGUACUGCAGAUAUACAAAUUUUCUUCAGCAGUGGUAACAUAUGCAUGCAUCC